ACCUUUGGGUUCGGAACGAUUAGAAGCGCCGUGUGCGAUCUUGGAGCGGUGGCCGUGGAGAUGGAGCUCCGGCUGGUUUGUAGCUCGAGGACGACCGCGGAAGCCGCGCCCGCUCAAUUAUCGGGCUGGCGAUGGGGCUUUUCUUACAAGUAAGUGGUUAUCUUCCUUUGUUUCUUGGUCCGCUUUGGUUCUCGGUAAGGCCUGGCCUCGAGAUUGCACGUUUGGAGGAUUUGAUGGAGUUGGAGCCGUCUGGCUCUCUUGUUCCAGCAGCGCCCAUCUCGGUUAGAAAUCGGUUAGGCGGUCGAAGAAUUUGAUUCAUUUAGGGCAGCUUUGAUCCAUAGUUUUGAUUGUUGAUACGAGUGGAAUGCGUGCCAUCUUAGAAUUGACAUUUUUGGUUCUUGAACUUCUUCCCCCUCUCGAGUCAGGUCGGUUUGGUUGUCUUCACAUCCGUUUGCCCGAUAGUUCUACAUCAUAUUGACUUGCGCGCAAGCUGCAGAUAACUCUAUUAUCAUCAAGAUGGUUUUAGGAAGACAUCGUCUCGCUAAUCCGGACCUUUACAACGUGCGUUGGAUGCCAUUUCGGUGAGGCUAGCUAUGAGUCGAUCAACAGCACAAGAACCUACUUGGGGAUUAGCGUCAGUCUGCAUCCGAGUGAGUACCAGUAAUCAUAUGUAGGAGAUUAGACAGACAAUGUCAAGUACAUUGUAAAGAAUGUGCUCGGAAACACCACAUUCACCCAACCUAACCCCAUUUUAGAUUUAGGGCCUUCUCUAGUAAAAAUGAAGAGAGCCGUUUCCAAAGACCAUUCCACUACAAUUCCCCUACCAAACAUACAUUUCCUAUUGAUACACAUAUACAGUUUUACAACAGUAUAGCCUCUACCCAAUUAAGAGGGAUACACUGAUCAAAAAACUGCAUUCCAGAUUGUGCUUUCAUUUUCGCCACAACGCUGAUGAACUUCCUUGAUCCUAUCAACAGAAUCACAGAUACCACUACAGCUCCAAUCGAAUGAGGCGACACAAGUGUUGCCUGCCUGGGCCUUCCACUCACAAUCUGCAUAUUGUUCCAGUAUUGAAUAUUAGGAAUUCAAACAUCAAACAUAAACAGUAAGCAUCUUUACCAGGUAGGGUGCCACAGCAUAGUUUGCGGUCAUCAAUAUGCUCAACAUCUAAUCCUAUGAACCAAGAUCCUAAUGAUACAUCCUCGUUCACAUACUUGUGCAGUAUAUGCCUGAAAUUGAAGGAGUCCGAGACUUUAUUUCACUAAGAGAGAACCAAAAACAGACAAAUGAGAUAUAGCAUUGAUAAAGAACUGCUCUGUUAGAUUUUAGCUUUGGUUCAACCAAAGCAUAAUUUGAUUACUGAAUUUAUAUCAAAAUUUUCAAGCUAAAGUUGCCUUACUGGUUUAUGGAUAUAUAGGCGGCCAAUUCAUUCGAAAUGGCAUACAAUUGACCAGUAGCAUGUCGGAAGUAUUUGUUGCCAUCCCCUCCAAACUUCCAGUGUUCGGGUUCAUAAUAUCUCACCCCCCUAUAGCAUGAUAUUUUGCAUGUCAGUAUAGAUCACUUGACAAUGCUAAACUAAUCAAUGACCAAAUCCACCGUUUAACACUCACUUUCGAGCAAGGACAGGACCACACUUCAUGCAUCCAAUAUAUACUCGAGGUUUCAAACGAUGUCUUGCUAAAGUAUUUCCCAAUGUUGCUGCAAAAUUUUGAACGUAGUCAAAAUAAGAUAUAAAAGCCUAUUACUUCCAAUCUGAUUAACUCUUGCUUCCUGCAACAUUGAUCCUUAGAAAGAUUAUAGAUCUUGAUACUAGCAAAAUAAUAUUAUUAACCAUUUUCUACGGUAAGGCAGUGUAAAUUAUAUCAUUUACAACAUGAACAGCCUUUGAAAUGCUUUGUCAGGCAUCUUUUGUUAUCAUGAAAAAAUGUAUGUUUUGUCACUAAUAAAAUCCAUUAUUAUACUAUCCUUCGAAAUAUUUGAAUUUCCAAGCAAAAGUGCAGAUAAAUUUUUUGCCAUUAAAAGCUAGCGACUAAAAGCAGUAGAUUAAUCUCUCGACAUUCAAUCAGGUUAAUGUUGGCAGCUAAUACGAGGACAGUACUAAAUUUAAAUCACUUAAACAAAGAAGACAAAUCUAGGAAAAUAACAAAUAAUCUACAUUCCACUGUCUCAGAGAAUAUUGUGAUUGUCAUCAAUUUCUAAUACCAAAUAGUACAAGCUCAGCAAUGUCAUCAGUUUCAUGAGUGCAUAGUUUAUACAUCAUCCAGUGUUCUCAUUGUUCAAAUGCAUGCCCAUUUCAUCAUGAUAUGUUACAUGGUCUGCACAUGUUGUUCAACAUUAUUGGCCCACAUUAGGUUAGCCCUUACUAACCAUUCCUGUAUUACCAUCAAAAAUUGAGACCAAAUUUGCAGAACUUAGGACACAACUACUUACAUAUUUAUGUAUGCAUAUAGAUGCAAUCAGGUUAAAAUAAAAUAUCAGAGUCAAGUUAAAGAAAUAUAAUAGAACAUUUACCUAUAUUCACAUGUACAUCAUCAUCAACUUUAACAUAGAACUCUGCAUCCCACAAAGAGAAAGCGGUGGCAAAAUAUGUUUUUGUUUUGGCUGAUAACUCUAGGUAUCCUUCAACAUGAUUCUGCAAACAAAUACAUUAUCAAGGGCCCCAUGUUCUCUGCCUUUUUAGUAUUAGAGAUCCUUUUUAGGAACAGCCUCAUCGGUGAAAUGGACAGGCUAUAGAAGCGAUAUAUGAAAAUGAAAUGGUUAUCUUACAAGCCUCAAGAAAUCACCAUGCUUUUUGUCCUCAGCUUCAACUGAUCUAUCCAGAAUUCCACCAGAAGUGGCACUACAAACAAGUAUCAAGCAAUUUACUUGGUAUGUGUACUAAGAAAGCAUCAUUUAUGCAAAGAUACUGAAAAUUUGUAGCCUUGGCAUAAAUCCAUAAUCUGCAAGCAUCGAAAUUCUGUUAUUUUCUUGCCCUUUUUAGAGCUUCUAUUCCAAAUUAGUUGGCGUAACUAAUUAAUAAUAGCAUAAUUAGCACACCAAUGCAAGGGUAAAAUAAAUUUUGGAGAGCUCCUAGCAAAUUACCAGCUAAAAUCAAGAGCAUAUCCUGAGUAGUGCUUUCAUGCCUUGUGUUCCUUGAAUGGCACAUCAAAAAUAUCAAAUAGAGAAAAUAAGUUGAGAAAAUUUAUGGUCUAGUGCCUAGCACAGAUCAUUAAUUUUUCAAACAUUUGAAAAGACUCGAGACAUCUAAGUUCAGUUACCACAUCUAACUAGAUGCACUGUAACCCAUAUUGAAGUUAUUUCACUGUUCUCAAACAGUGAUUGGAUGAUUAGAAGGAAGUGUUAAGUGCAUAAAUAAAUAUCCUAUAGGCCUGAGUGCAACAGUAAGGUUUCUGAGUUGCAUCCUAGAUAGGACGUUUAUGGAUAAGCAUAUCUCAAUGCAUCCUAUAGAUAGGAUGUUUAUCGAUAAGCAUAUCUCAAUGCAGAGGGUCGGCAUGGGUAAGUAUUAUCCUCAGCUCUGCAGUGGUAGAUGCUUCAUGCCCUAGGCUACAGUUGUUCUUUUCCUCAUUUUCCUCUUUUGCCCUACAAUAGUGGAUCCUGGAAACACAAAUGCUGCACAAAAUUUUAAAAAUGGAUAAUUUGAGAUCUAAAUGAUAAGGCAAAGAAUGGUAAUAGAUGUUGCUCACCCAUGACCGAUAACAAAGCGGAUGACAAUGCCCUUCUCUUCUUCUAGCUUCUUUCUUUUUUCACCUAUAGCGUAUUUGAGAUCCAAUCAACUACCAUGAUAAGUUCAGCUGCAUGAACUAGAAGAAUGUUAAACGAAAUUACAUACCUUGUGGCAUCCACGUAUCACGAACUGAAUCUCUUCGUUUGCGGCUAUUAAAAGCAGUAUUAAUUCCUAUAACCAUAAAAUAUUUGUGUCUUCUUGUUUUAAUAACCUUCAGUUCUUGUGGAAUAGGAGAACCUUUGAGUAUAGACUCCUGUGCCAUCUUUGCUGCUGCUAGCUCCAUCUCUAAGUUUGAUAUUGCUUUAUUUAGCAUUCUGGACGCAAAGAUUUUCUAUUUCUUGUUAAGUUGGAGGGAUUUUUUCCAAUCUGGGAGUAUCAAACACGUAACAGAAUUCCAAGUGUGGCAUCAAAAUUUAAUGAAAUCCAACUAAUAACCAAAAUAAUAUAGCAUACUGAAGGUCAUCUUCAGUUGUUGAGCCUUCUUCCCCCAGAAUUUUUCUCGCCUCUUCCUUCUGGUCCAUCUGAGAAGACAGAAGAGAAAGAAUGACUGUACAAUUACAAUUGAUAUGCAUUCACAGAACACCACAACCAAGAAUAAAAUUCCCAAACGACUAGCACAUUGGAUAUCUUCAGCAUGUAAUAGAAAACACUUGAUGAUUUGCAUAUUUGUUUUAAUGUCAGUGCUGCUUAUUGUGUACAUAUAUUAUAUCUCAAAGCAAAAACUUUGCAUUGACAAAUUGAAGGGAAAAAAAUUUAUUCAUGGUCCAUCCAUCCCAGAACAUCAUAUUUACAGAUUGAAGAAUGAAACAAGAUUUUAUCUAAAAUUCUUAAUAUUGAUAAACUGAAGAAAGAAAACAAAAUCCAUUACUUUGUUCGAACUGACAGUUAUAUGCAAAGUCAAUUUUAUGAAAAAGGAACUUGUACUAGAUUGGUGAACAUAAAGCAAAAUUGAGGCACUCACUAUUUUUGAAUAAUAUCCUUCUACAACGAGCUCUUCUCUAUGUUCUUUGGCCUUGUUUGCUCUGAUUAUAUCUUUUGCUUCCGGCACCGUCCACAUUCUGUCACCAAACACAGAAUAAACUAUGAGAAAACACAAACAGAAUUCAUAAGAAAUAUCGUGUCUAGUAAGCUUGGUGAAAGCAACAAUGGUGUACCUGACCAAACUAAAUGUACCAGUAUAUGACUCUGAUCAGCAAAAGGCUUUUAGUAGGACCAAGUUUUUAGAUUAUUGAAUAUUGACAGAAAGAUGUAUCUCCAGCCAAGUGUUCUGAAACACAAUGCAUUAUGUUCUUAAUGCACUCAAUUUCUCUUAAACAGGAGAAGGAUGCUUUAGCAUGUUCAUGGGAACAGUCAAUCUGGCAUCAACUACAAUGCAUCUUCUUCAUUUCUUAUAUACUUUAAUGAAGCUCACAAUGCCUCCUCAAACACAAUCUUCAAAGUUCCAUUUUCCAGCAUUCAUAUGAUGGUAGAAGCCAGGCAUUCCAUGCAUUCACCAGGGCUGAUCUGGAUGGUUCAGGAACUGCAUAUGAUCUCACUGACAAGUGAUGGAAAUUGACCAAAGCAAAGGUCACAACUCAUAACCUAUUUCGCAUAAACUAUCAAAGCAUUGUAUCUUUACUCUCAGACAUCAAAAUAAGGGGGGCAAAAGUUCUAUAUUUUCUGGCUACCCAUUGCGACUCUCUCACCAAGAAUCAUUUCCCAAGUCCUGAUCAGUCCCAAGAUCCUUCAAUUAAUCACCUGUUGGGGGAAAUUUGCAGUGAAAAUUCAAAGAACCCCUACCCAAUCUAACAGUUCCAAGCACAA
rnacentral:lncRNA from 1 species